GUCAGCAGCCGCGGUAAUACCUGCAGCCCGAGUGGUGGUCGAUUUUAUUGAGUCUAAAACGGUUCGUAGCCGGGUCCGGUAAAGUCCCUGGGGUAAAUCGGGGAAGCUCAACUUUCCCCGAAUUCCCGGGGAGACGUGCCGGACUUUGGGACCGGGAGAGGCUAGAGGUACUUCUGGGGUAGGGGUAAAAUCCUGUAAUCCUGGAAGGACCACCGGUGGCGAAGGCGUCUAGCUAGAACGGAUCCGACGGUGAGGGACGAAGCCCUGGGUCGCAAACGGGAUUAGAUACCCCGGUAGUCCAGGGUGUAAACGCUGCAGACUUGGUGUUGGGGGCCCUUUCGGGGGCGUCCAGUGCCGGAGAGAAGUUGUUAAGUCUGCUACUUGGGGGGUACGUCCGCAAGGAUGAAACUUAAAGGAAUUGGCGGGGGAGCACCGCCAACGGGAGGAGCGUGCGGUUUAAUUGGAUUCAACACCGGAAAACUCACCAAGGGCGACUGUUACAUGAAGGCCAGGCCGACGACCUUGCCGGAUUUUCAGAGGAGUGGUGCAUGG
rnacentral:rRNA from 1 species